rnacentral:rRNA from 1 species
GAUGAACGCUAGCUACAGGCUUAACACAUGCAAGUCGAGGGGAAACGAUAGAGAAAGCUUGCUUUUUCUAGGCGUCGACCGGCGCACGGGUGAGUAACGCGUAUCCAACCUGCCCAUCACUUGGGGAUAACCUUGCGAAAGUAAGACUAAUACCCAAUGAUAUCUCUAGAAGACAUCUGAAGGAGAUUAAAGAUUUAUCGGUGAAGGAUGGGGAUGCGUCUGAUUAGCUUGUUGGCGGGGUAACGGCCCACCAAGGCGACGAUCAGUAGGGGUUCUGAGAGGAAUGUCCCCAACAGUGGAACUGAGACACGGUCCAAACUCCUACGGGAGGCAGCAGUGAGGAAUAUUGGUCAAUGUACGAGAGUCUGAACCAGCCAAGUAGCGUGCAGGAUGACGGCCCUAUGGGUUGUAAACUGCUUUUAUAAGGGAAUAAAGUGAGUCUCGUGAGACUUUUUGCAUGUACCUUAUGGAUAAGGACCGGCUAAUUCCGUGCCAGCCGCCGCCGUAA